rnacentral:rRNA from 1 species
UACGUAGGAUGCAAGCGUUGUCCGGAAUUACUGGGCGUAAAGGGCGAGCAGGUGGCACUACAAGUCUGAUGUAAAAUCUCCCGGCUUAACUGGGAGGGCCAUUGGAAACUGUAGAGCUGGAGUGCAGGAGAGGCUAACGGAAUUCCCGGUGUAGUGGUGAAAUGCGUAGAUAUCGGGAGGAACACCAGUGGCGAAGGCGGUUAGCUGGCCUGUAACUGACACUGGAGGCGCGAAGGCUAGGGGAGCGAACAGG